UGGGUAGGAGACUGGUGUGGGGGGAAGGGACGCUCAUCACGAUAAUAUACCACAAAUGGGUAAAUGGAGGUGGUUAGAAUAUGAAUGAGUGCUUGGUUGCUUUUUUGAUGCCAUUAAGUUAUGGUUUGCCGACUGCAUUGUGUUGAUCCAGACCGUUUAAGGAGCCAUGUUGCCAAGUGGUGGAUAUUUCAAGAGCUUGACGUGCCCAUAUUUCAAGAGUGGAUACUGUGAGCGGCCUCACUGCCACUUCCGUCAUGUUAGUGAACCAGUCAGCGGUGUCAGGGAGCCUGAAACACCAAAUGAGGAAGCAGUCUCAGCUUCAGCAGCUGCCGCCCCAGCUGUGGACAGCGCGGUGCUGCAGGAGAUGGUGUCGCGGGCUGUGCGCGAGGCACUGCGGAGCGGCGCCGCCGCCGCACUCACAGCCGACACCAUCGCCAGCAGUCUGGAGUUGUCGGGCUCGCUGGCGGCGGCUCCCGCUCCGGCUCCGACUCCGGCUCC